rnacentral:lncRNA from 1 species
AGGUUUGAUUGCGCGCGAGGUCUAAGGCUUUCCUGCGGGCGGUGCGCGCGAGCUGUGGAAACGUGGUUUGAGACUGCCUGCCUCCUCGAUGAUGCCUGAAAUUAGGGUCACUCCCUUGGGGGCUGGCCAGGAUGUAGGCCGCAGCUGUAUCUUAGUCUCCAUUUCGGGCAAGAAUGUCAUGUUGGACUGUGGGAUGCACAUGGGCUACAAUGAUGACAGGCGCUUUCCUGACUUUUCUUACAUCACCCAGAGUGGCCGUCUGACUGACUUUCUGGACUGUGUAAUCAUCAGGUGGAUGAUGAACUGGAAAUCAAGGCGUACUAUGCAGGCCAUGUGUUGGGGGCAGCCAUGUUCCAGAUUAAAGUGGGCUCAGAGUCUGUGGUCUACACGGGUGAUUAUAACAUGACUCCAGACCGGCAUUUGGGGGCUGCUUGGAUUGACAAGUGUCGUCCCAACCUGCUCAUCACAGAGUCCACAUAUGCCACAACCAUCCGAGAUUCCAAACGCUGCAGAGAGCGAGACUUCCUGAAGAAAGUUCAUGAGACUGUGGAGCGUGGCGGAAAGGUAUUGACUGCAGGCAGGCUUUGGGUGUGUGCCCACUUUGGCUACACUCUAGGCCUCCUAGCAGGCCUUGCUGUCGUACCUUUGGUCAGGGUCUCUGGGUGUGGGAGUUGUGGUUUGUGUGGCACUAAGAAGACAGAUUCCAGAGUCUUCCAUUCUCUCACGGUUGCAUCUGAUGAAGGCUGUUCAAGAGCCUCCCACAGUUCCUGCUGUCUCUGCAUGUAGCCAGGUACCAUAUCUGUGGU